rnacentral:lncRNA from 10 species
CUGUGAGGCCAGGGCUGGGGGCACCUGCACCAGGAAGGGGCAGAGGCAGGCCAGGCACAGCUGGGGGAGCUGCAGGCAGCAGGAGGCAGGGGAGGCAGCGGUGGCCCUGGCCAAGCUUGCAGAGCCUCAGACUCUCGACACAGUGCUGACGGCCAGCAGCCUCCCUGGCAUCCACAGACGUGUGCAAACGCCCCUUUCCAGGUCAGCUCUUCCUACUCACAGCCACACUCCCCCCAGGCCAGCACUGCCUGAGUACUUCCCAGGAGCGUGGCGUGGAUACUAUCACCAUCCCCAUUAUACAAAGGAGAAAAGGGAGGCUCAGAGAAGCUAAGCAACUUCUUCAAGAGAGUUCCUUGGCUGCCACAUCCUCUUCUUAGUGUCUCUGCUUCAUAUAAGAAAUUGCUACCCUGGUGGUGCCUGCCCUAAUGGCUUGAUGGUUCUCCUGGUCUGUGGACUUGUGGACUUGUUCUCUCCAUCUUCCUAAGUGGGAUGCUGCCACUGGGCAGAGUGGGCUGGCAGGGAAAUUACUGGAUUUAGAGCAGGGCUGUACAGGCCACACAGGUAAACAACAGACUGCCCACACUGGAGCUCAUGGUCAUGCGAGUUCCUCAGUAACCAGGAGCCCAGGCUGACAUGGGAGCCCAACAUGAAACCAAACUCACCUUGAUGGAGUGCCCACAGGCACCAGUGACCGGGCUGGGCUUGUGGAUGCAGAGCUAACCACAGGUGCAUGGUCCACCCUAGAGCACUCAUGCCCAGAAGAGGGCACAGAUGGGAAACCAGUGAGUGGACCUUCAAUCCUUCACCCCAGAAAUGUGUACUGAAAGCUGAUGGUCUGCUGGGGACCCCCAAAGACUUGCUUUCAUGGGGUGUACAUGCCAGCUUUCAACAAUGGCUGGAGGAGCAGUACUGCCAAAGAGAUGGGAGAGUGCAGAGAAGUGAGUGAACAAGUCCGCUGGAGGGAGGAGAGGUGAUCUCUGACCGGAUCUUAAAGAGUUGAUGUGUCCCAGACAGAAAUGGAAAAUGAGGAAAGGGUGUUCUAAGCAGCGGUAACAGCAUGUGCAGAAACCCAGAGACAGGAAGGAACAAGGCAGGCUGGGGGAAUCUCAUGUGGUUUCGUAUGACUGGUGUGUGUACGUGGGAGGUUGUGGUAGUUAAAAGACAUCCACAAAUUCUUUGACAUUCCUCCCUUCAAAAGACAGAGGCUCAUUCUCUUCCUCCUGAAUGUGGGCAGGACUCAGUAACUUACUUCUGAAGAACCACAUAUGAUGGAAACGGUAAUGGAUAACCUCCGAGACUAGAUCAUAAAAGACACUGUAGCUCCCUCCUUGUUCCUUCUGGGUUUGCCCUCUCUGGGAGAACCCAACCCAGGUCAUAAGGACACUCAAGCAGCUCUCUGGGGAGGCCCACAUGGAGAGGAACCGAGGCCUCUCGCCAACAGCAGGCACAGGCUUGCCAGCCUGUGAGCCAGCCAUCAAGGAAGUGCAUUCUCCAGCCCCAGCCAAGCCUUCAGAUGACACAACCCCCCAACAUUGUGAUGCAAUCUCAUGAAAAACCCCAAGCCAGAACCACCCAGCCACCUACAGAGACUGUGAGAUGUUUAUUGUUUGUUCUUGAAAGCCGCAGUGUUUUGAAGUCAUUGGUUACGCACAAUUGAUGACUCAUCCAGCGUUGCUUUGAGGCAUGACCCUAAGGAAGGGAGGGGCAUGCUUAGGCUCCAGGUUAAUGGGCUGAAAUCAUGUUAGAGACUUGGCUACAUCACUUCUUUUUGGGGGCCUCAGUUUCCUCAUUUGUCCAAUUCAUAGGCUGGAGCAGAAGAUUUCUAAGCUCUUCACCAGUGCAGACCCAACCACAUGCCUGCAAGACACAUUGCUAUGGUCUGAAUUAUCGUUUCCUCUCAAAAAAGGCAUAGGUUGAAACCUAAUCUCCAAUGUGAUGGUAUUAGGAGGUGAGGACUUUGGGAGGUGAUAGGUCAUGUGAGCUCCAUCCUUAUAAUAGGAUUAGUGCCCUUAUGAAAGAGACCGCAGAGAGCUGCCUUGCCCCUUCCUCCGUGUGAGGACACAGCUAGAAGGCACUGUCUAUGAAGCCGGAAGCAGCCUUCACCACACGCCAAAUCUGCCAAUACCUUGAUCUUGGACUUCCCACCUCUAGAACUGUGAGAAAUAAAUUUCUGCUGUUUAUAAGCCACUUGGUCUACGGCAUUUUGUUUUUGUUUUUUUAGAGACAAGGUCUUGCUGUCACCCAGGCCAGACUGCAGUGGCACAAUCAUAGCACACUGUCACCUUGAACUCCUGGGCUCAAGCGAUCCUCCCCACCUCAGCCUUCUGAGUAGCUGGGACUACAGAUGCGCUGGGACUACAGAUGCUCUACGGGUGGAGACAGGGUCUCAUUUUGUUGCUCAGGCUGGUCUCAAACUCCUGGCCUCAAGUGAUUCACCCACCUCAGCCUCCCAAUACAAUAUUUUGUUAUAGCAGCUGGAACAGACUAAGACACACAUCAAGUGAGGUGGUUGCUUCUUUAGAGGAUUUGGGGUCCCAGAAAGGAGGUGAGGAAAGUUGCUGGCCAUACACCUACUGAAAGACGGGGUCUGGGGAGAAGACAGACACAGCCUGCCACCUUUGCUGACCCACAGGGACUCAGGGAGAUGAGAGCAUGUGCAUUAAGAGCCAGAUGGAGGCAGGAAGGAGUGGUGGCCUGAGGACGUCCACAGAGUCAGGAAGGCGGGACCUCCAGUGGGACCCUCAUCUCAGCCCAGCCGACCACUCACCCUUUGGCCAAGCCUGGGAAGGAACGCUGGGCCGGCACUCACAUCCAUUCAUUAUUCCAUUUAAUCCUCACCACAACCCUGCAAGGAAGGUUUUUUUAUUCGUAUUGAUUUGCUUAUCGAUUUAGACCCAACCUUGUUCUAGAAAGCCUUUAAGGUGGCUUAUAGGGAUUUUCAAAACAGCAAGAGAGCAAGAGUGAAAAAUGAGGCACAGAGAAGAGGAGGAAUCAAUGGCGGGUACUAAGAAUGCAUGCACCAUGUGACCACAUGCCAGGCUGGGCUGAGCGGGGCUCUGAGCUUUCUCACUGAAAGCCAGCGUGAAAGGAGAGCCAGUCAGCUCACAGCGCCCACGGGACACGUAUAAGUCUAAAAGGAUCAGCUUCUCAGGAGUACAGCUGGUGUGGCACUCAGAUGAGGCAAGAAUUUUCCCAGGGGUGUUUAUUAAAAAUGACAGUGUAGCCUAAUCAAUAACACUAGAUCCUUAUAAUUAAUGGGGUUUGAGUGUCUGUUUCUUAUAAUAGCAUCAAAGUACAAUUCAGCAAAUGCAUUUCUAUAAGGACUCACACCAGGAACUAAGUAGGGAAGAGGAAGAAGGCAGAGGCAGACUCCAGGUAGGCCCAGUCUAUGCAAAGACGCUGGGGCAUGAGAGAGCCUGGUAUGACUGGGGAGGAGCAGAGGCUCUGGGAAGCAAGUGUCAGCUGGGAGAAGCCUCACACAGGCCGGGGAGAGUGAUGGGAUAGAACAGAGAGGGCUGUGAUAUGACCAUCUUUUUAAUUAUUUUGUUUAUUUAUUUAGAGACAGCAUCUCACUCUGUCACUCAGGCUGGAGUGCAGUCACUCAAUCACAGCUCACUGCACUGUUGAAAUCCUGGGCUCAGGUGAUUUUCCUCUCUCAGCUUCCUGAGUAGCUGGGACUACAGGCGCAUGCUACCAUGCCUGGCUAAUUUUUUAAAAAAUAUUUUUGUAGAGACAGGGUCUCACUAUGUUGUCCAGGCUGGUCUCAAACUCCUGGGUUCAAGUGAUCCUCCCUCCUCAGCCUCCCAAGUAGCUGGGACUAAAGGCACGGGCACUGUGCCCAGCUCUGACCAUCUUUCAGGCUUUGUUCUGGGGCACCAAAGCUUAAAGAGGAAAGACACAGCCCCCAGGCAGGCAGGCAGCAGGUGAUGCCAACGGCCAUCAAGAGAUAAGAGAUGGCCCAAAGCUGGGUGUGGAACUGUCCCACCCUGGCCAGUCAGCCCACAGCCGGAACCAGCCCUCAUCGUUUAAAUGAAGACAGGAAAGUGAAUUUGGGGCCCCAGGAGAGGCCAGAGGAAAACAGGUGAACCUUGGAAGCCUCAGGAAAAUGCAGCCUGAUGGCAGCAAAGCGGGUGGUAGAAGGAGCCUGCACCUGUAGAGAGAAGGACCAGGUUCAACUCCUGCUUCUGCUAUUGACCAACCAUGGACCUCGAGAAGUUCUGCACCUGAGAGCUUCAGGUGUCCUAUUUGUAAAAUAACUACCACGUGGGACUUUGGAGAAGAUUGUGAAUUGAUGUACUUAAGCUUCUGAAUCACAACCUCCAUUUAGCAGCAUUCAAGAAAUGCGGGCUGUUGUCCCUGCCCGAAGCACAGCCUAAGCAACCCUAAGGCUCUGUUGUUUCAAGCUUUCCCACGAGGGGGCGCCAGAAGCCUUCCCUGGACCUGGAUGCCUCAACCACAUCGCAAACUAGCAGAACAAAGCUAUUCUCUUUUUUUUUCUUUUUGCUCCAACUGACUUCCUACCUUGCCAAUACUUGUCUCAUCUUUCCCAAAUCCCUUUGAAAUAAAG